CCUACGGGAGGCAGCAGUGGGGAAUUUUGGACAAUGGGCGAAAGCCUGAUCCAGCCAUGCCGCGUGAGUGAAGAAGGCCUUCGGGUUGUAAAGCUCUUUCGGCCGGAACGAAAUCGCACCCGUGAAUAUCGGGUGUGGAUGACGGUACCGGAAGAAGAAGGACCGGCUAACUACGUGCCAGCAGCCGCGGUAAUACGUAGGGUCCGAGCGUUAAUCGGAAUUACUGGGCGUAAAGCGUGCGCAGGCGGUUUUGUAAGCCAGUCGUGAAAUCCCGGCGUACUACGGAGAGNGNGUGUG
rnacentral:rRNA from 1 species